rnacentral:rRNA from 1 species
UACGUAGGGGGCAAGCGUUGUCCGGAUUUAUUGGGCGUAAAGAGCGUGUAGGCGGUUUGGUAGGUCCGUUGUGAAAACUCGAGGCUCAACCUCGAGACGCCGGCGGAAACCAUCAGGCUAGAGUCCGGAAGAGGAGAGUGGAAUUCCUGGUGUAGCGGUGAAAUGCGCAGAUAUCAGGAGGAACACCGAUGGCGAAGGCAGGUCACUGGGCCGCAACUGACGCUGAGGAGCGAAAGCAUGGGGAGCGAACAGG